GGUCCAAUAGUGUAGAGGUUAUCACAUGGGAUUCUGAUGAGUAAAUGACUUCCCAUGACCCAGGUUCGAGUCCUGGUUGGACCU
rfam:Gymnopus luxurians FD-317 M1 unplaced genomic scaffold GYMLTscaffold_22, whole genome shotgun sequence.